rnacentral:misc_RNA from 1 species
CACAGAGGGUGCAAGCGUUAACCGGAAUUACUGGGCGUAAAGCGCGCGUAGGUGGUUUGUUAAGUUGGAUGUGAAAGCUCUGGGCUCAACCUGGGAACUGCAUCCAAAACUGGCAAGCUAGAGUACGGUAGAGGGUGGUGGAAUUUCCUGUGUAGCGGUGAAAUGCGUAGAUAUAGGAAGGAACACCAGUGGCGAAGGCGGCCUCCUGGACUGAUACUGACACUGAGGUGCGAAAGCAUGGGGAGCAAACGGG